UCAACUCCGCCACACCUGCCGCAGACGAGCUCAGGAGGAGGAGCGGAGUAGGCUCCCGUGAUGAUUUGCUGGCGCGAGUCGGAGCAAAAAAGAAUUGGGAUUCUUCCAUGCUCCAUACUGCGCCAUUGUCUAAAGAACCAACAUAAAUGGGAACGCCACAGAUGCACAACCAAAGGUGCUACUCCCUCGAUGGUGUAGCUGCAAUGAACAUGUUUGAUAGAAUGCCUCACAGGUGCUAACGUCCAUUUUUUUUUGGUUGCUCUUUUCCUCUAUUCCUGUUGUAGUUAAACUACUUAUCUCUAGGCUAAAUAGGCACACGAGUAUAGCUGCAGCUGGCAAGAUGAAUGGUCUGCUUGCUGCAAAAAGAGUGGAAUUAAUAUCACCGGGGAAAUAGUGUUUCUGAGAGCAGCAGCAGCGUGCCCAUGUUGUACUUGUGUGACGUCUCUAUCUCUCUGCCUUUUCUUUCAUUUCUUUUAAGUCAUGUGUUAGGCAUCAUUUACUUGCUGUGGAUUAGAAUUUUGUGAUGGAUAUGCGAGGGCUUUGAUUUUGUGUGCGACAGGUGUAUGUACAGUUUAAUGUUGUUCUGAAGAACAGUGAUUUAUAGUUCUGCCCGAGAAUUUGAUAACGUAAUGACACAAUGGUAAGAACUAAUGUUUCACAAUUAUAUCAUAUACUAUGCUCGAGCUUGUGCUUCGAUACAUUAGAUUUUUCUAAUGCUGGCCAUUUCAUUGAUAUUUUGUUGUACCAUUUGUGUGUGCAUUCUGUAGCUUCACUACCUUCCUGCUAUGUUUUUUCAUACAAAGUGUUGAUGCAUUUGUUGUACUCUAUUGCAGGACAAGUUCAGGCAGAAAGAAUGUUUCUCGAAGUUUGGAAUUCCGUUUACCUGACUUUGUUCAGGUUCUAUAAUUGUGGUGUCAUUAUCUGUGGGUCUUUUGAGGUAACUCCACCAUUCAUUUAAGUACACUGGGUUUCUCCCUGAAUUUUUUCCAAGAGUUUUUGCCAGAUUGGCCUUAACAGUGAAGAUCCAAACAAGUGAGUUAAAACACACAGUUAUGUAACUCUGUGUUAUUAUUUCUUUCACUUUAAAGUUUAAUUUUUUUACUCUCAGCAAGAUAAAAAUGGAGCCUUAAGCAAGACUCAUUUCAAAAAUUUCAACAAUACAUUUCUGAAUUUUUAACGACUCAUCAAUAUUUUCAAGAACAUAUUCAUGGCAAUAUCACCAACCUAUAUAUGUUAUAAUAACAUUUGAGAUUCAGUGGACCACUUGAAUACAAAUUCGUCAAGUCUGUCUUCCGAAGUUGCGAUUGGCUACAGGAGAGCAAAUUUGGCUCCCGAAGGAUCAACAAGUAGAGGACCAAUCCUUUUAAUGCCAGUGUUGUUGCGAGACUGGUACGACUAAACUGAGAAGUGCUUUUAGUUCUGUUGCUAGACUGGCAUGGCUAAACUGAGAAGUGCUUUUGUUGAUAGUUGGAUCCUUUCAAAGCAGGUGGUUGAUUUUAGUUCCUUUCGUAUUUUUUAAAGAUGAAAUUCAGGUUGUAAAGACAUAUACUCUAUUUGAAUCAACACACAGACUGUUGAUUUUUUCCA